GACGGAGGGUGCAAGCGUUGUUCGGAUUGACUGGGCGUAAAGGGCGUGUAGGCGGUCUGUUGCGUCCGCUGUGAAAACUCGGGGCUUAACCCCGAGCCUGCAGUGGAUACGGGCAGACUAGAGGUAGGUAGGGGAGAAUGGAAUUCCCGGUGUAGCGGUGAAAUGCGCAGAUAUCGGGAGGAACACCGGUGGCGAAGGCGGUUCUCUGGGCCUUACCUGACGCUGAGGAGCGAAAGCGUGGGGAGCGAACAGG
rnacentral:rRNA from 1 species